rnacentral:rRNA from 1 species
AUUGAACGCUGGCGGCAGGCUUAACACAUGCAAGUCGAACGAGUGGCGGACGGGUGAGUAAUGCUUGGGAAUCUAGCUUAUGGAGGGGGCUAACUACGGGAAACUGUAGCUAAUACCGCGUACCAUAGGAUGAGCCCAAGUGGGAUUAGGUAGUUGGUGAGGUAAAGGCUCACCAAGCCGCCGAUCCCUAGCUGGUCUGAGAGGAUGACAAGCCACACAGGGACUGGGACAGGGCCCAGACUCCUACGGGAAGCAGCAAUGGGGAAUAUUGGACAAUGGGGGCAACCUGACGCAGCGAUUCCGCGUGAAUGAAGAAGGCCUUCGGGUUGUAAAGUUCUUUCGGUAGCGAGGCGUUAACUACAGAAGAAGCACCGGCUAACUCGGUGCCAGCAGCCGCGGUAAUAC